GCGCCCUUAGCUCAAUUGGAUAGAGCGUCUGACUACGGAUCAGAAGGUUGGGGAUUCGACUUCCUCAGGGCGCACCA
rnacentral:tRNA from 1 species